GUCCUCUUGUUUAUUUUGGAGGUCUGACCUGCCCAGUGAAAUUUUUAACGGCCGCGGUAUUUUGACCGUGCAAAGGUAGCAUAAUCAUUAGUCUUUUAAUAGGGGGCUGGAAUGAAGGGUUUAACGAAUCAUUAGCUGUCUCAUUUUUAUAACUUAAAACUUAAUUUUUAAGUUAAAAAGCUUAAAUGGUAUUGAAGGACGAGAAGACCCUAUAGAGCUUUAUAUUAUAUUUUUUAAUGAAUUGUUGAUUUAUAUUUAUUUAUUAUAAUAAUUUAAUAUUUUGUUGGGGUGACAGAAAUAAAUAAUUAACUUUUUUAUUCUUUAAACAUAAAUUUAUGAACUUUUGAUCCAUUAUUAUUGAUUGUUAGAUUAAGUUACCUUAGGGAUAACAGCGUAAUCUUUUUUUGGAGUUCAAAUUUACAAAAAGGCUUGCGACCUCGAUGUUGGAUUAAGAUUAUAGUUUGGUGUAGUAGCUAAAUUAAUAGGUCUGUUCGACCUUUAAAUUCUUACAUGAUCUGAGUUCAGACCGG
rnacentral:rRNA from 1 species